rnacentral:lncRNA from 10 species
CGGGUGCCUGUAGUCCAAGCCACUCGGGAGGCUGAGGUGGGAGAAUCGCUUGAACCCGGGAGGCAGAGGUUGCAGUGAGCCAACAUUGCGCCACUGCACUCCAGCCUGGGUGACAGAACGAGACUCUGUCUCAAAAAAAAAAAAAAUAAAGCGAAUGCUUUCACUAGAUAAUAACUGCAUACCAAGAGCCAGGGGCCAUGUUGAACUGUGCCGGCACAGCUGUUGUGGAUGAGUUUGUGGCAAACAACCAUUAUCAGCCACAACUCGUCGGUUUUUUACAGAAGCCAUACAGAAAGAGUGUCUUUUGCGUCUUUGAGGGCAGCAAUAAUCACUUCAGUUCCAUUCAGGGUGUGGUAUUGUUUCUUGCCACUUUGAUUGGCUGGGGAAGGGCAGGGUGUGCAGGAGUUUCCACUUGACCCUUCUGCCUAUGACCUAAGCUACAGGUUAAGUAAACAAUGUGCUGGGCAUCUGUCCCCCUGCUAAACAUAUCCCAAUUAUCUUCUCAGGGACAUGGCCAUAGGGUGAGUCUGUUCCCACUGGGCCCACUGAGAUGGAUUUGGGCCAGGACUCCAUUUAUCAGCUGACCUGUGUCUGGAGGGCAAUGGUAAGUUUUAGAUCCGUGUCAUACUAGAUCCUGUAUCAAAAAGCCUCAAAAGGCCUGGGCAUUCUGUUUUCUUAGUACGUUACUCUAGUGAACAGCCACAGGUCCUUUGGGGAAAUAUUUAUUGCAUAAUACUCGUGGUACAGUUGGAAGGUCUUCAAAGAAACCCAGACUCCCCUUAACUUGAUGGAUUCCAGAUCUCAGAACUGGCUCAGAUCUGGAAAGCAGCAGCAGGAUUGCAAUUUCCCAUUGUAACAGCCGGUAUCAGCCUUCUCAUCAACUCUUGGGAUUUUUUGUUUAUACAAAUCAAAGCCUUAUCCUGUUGGCUGAAAGUUUUUGUUAAGAACACCAAGGGUUAUUAGUCAAUGCCACAGUUCUCUGUGGGUCAAGACACCCUAGUGGGCUGUGCACAGUGGCUCAUGCCUAUAAUCCCAGCACUUUGGGAGGCUGAUGCAGAAGGAUCGUUUGAGCCCAGGAGUUCGAGACCAGCCUGGGCAACAUAGUGAGAUCCCAUCUCUCUUGUUUUUUAAAUUCAUAUUUAAUUUAAACAAAAAUAAGGCCGAGCGUGGUGGCUCACGCCUCUAAUCCCAGCACUUGGGAGGCCGAGGUGGGCGGAUCACGAGGUCAGGAGAUUGAGACCAUCCUGGCUAACAAGGUGAAACCCCAUCUUUACUAAAAAUACAAAAAAAAAAAAAUUAGCUGGGCGUGGUGGCGGGCACCUGUAGUCCCAGCUACUCCGGAGGCUGAGGCAGGAGAAUGGCAUGAACCUGGGAGGUGGAGGUUGCAGUGAGCCGAGAUCACGCCACUGCACUCCAGCCUGGGCAACACAGUGAGACUCCAUCUCAAACAAUAAAUAAAUAGGCCGGGUGUGGUGGCUCACGCCUGUAAUCCCAACACUUUGGGAGGUUGAGGCAGGUGGAUCACCUGAAAUCAGGAGUUUGAGACCAGCCUGGCCAACAUGGUGAGACCCUGUCUCUACUAAAAAUGCAAAAAUUAGCCAGGUGUGGUGGCGUGCGCCUGUAGUCCCAGCUACUCAGGAGGCUAAGGCAGGAGAAUUGCUUCAACCUAGGAGGCAGAGGUUGCAGUGAGCCGAGAUUAUGCCAUUGCACUCUAGCCUGGGUGACAGAGUGUCAAGAUUCCAUCUCAAAAAAAAAUCACCCUAGUUGCCACUCUGGCCUGGUUGCCCAUCAUGGUAAUUGUGUCCACUUUGCCUGUGAUAGCUCAGUGCUGCCGCCUGGCCUCUGUUGACCAGUCAUCCCAUUAAUAACAGGGAACUCUGUUCUGUGGCAGAAUCUCCUACUAUUAACCCUGCUGAGGCAGCUGUCACUGAACAAUCCCGGUGCUCCCCUCACUUCAUCCUUUAUUGUCUGAGUGAACGGGAAGCUAUUUGGGCCUUCCGAGAUAACAUAGGUGUUUGGUUCUCAGAUCUCGUGUAAGAAAUUCAUUUUAACACACGCUGAGUCUGCUGACACCCUUUCUCUGCUCAUCAUUUUAGCAGCUCUACCUCAUUUACUGUAGGCCAUCAUUCCUCGCCAAGUAUUGGAUUUUUUUCUUUUCAGAGAGACAGGGGUCUCAUUAUAUUGCCUAGGCUAGUUUCCAACUCCUGGGCUCAAGCAGUCCUCCCAUCUCAGCUUCCUGAGUAGCUGGGACUACAGAUGUGUGCCACCACGCCCAGCUAAUUUUUAUUUUUGUAGAGACUGGGUCUCACUAUGUUGCCCAGGCUGGGCUUGAACUCCUGAGUUCAAGCGAUUCUCCUGCCUUACCCUCCCAGAGUGCUGAGAUUACAGGCGUGAGCCACUGCACCCAGCUGAUUAAUACAUGAAAACCACUCGGAAAAGAGCCAGGCAACGCUGACACAGAGUAUAUGCCAUGUAUCAGCUACUGCUACCAUCACUUGCAAAUCCCAUCUCCUCUACAAUCUCAACUCUGAAAACAGUAUCAUUCCACUCCAUCUUUACUGAACCUGCCCAGGCUUGAUGCUGGUUAGAUGGAGGAGGAUGAGGAGUAUAAUCAAAGAAAACUUACAAAAUUUUGAUCCUGACAGGUUUACAGAAAUUUUAAGAGGGGGCAAUAAAUGGGAAAGUGGGAUCUGGUUUGAAACAUACUAUGAAACUGUAGAAAGUCCAGGUGUAACUGCUCUGCAGUCCACUGGAGACCCACGACUGAGGCUUGGGAGAGCCAUCAGGACAUGGGCAGGUUUUUUUCUUCUUCUUCGAGACAGUCUCGCUCUGUCACCCAGGCUGGAGUGCAGCAGCAUUAUCUCAGCUCACUGCAACCUCUGCCUCCUGGGUUCAAGUG